rnacentral:lncRNA from 1 species
CAAAAAUGGAGAACUGAUAAUUAUCACUGUAUUUAUUCUUUAUGGUUACUCGGGGGAACAUUUUAAAAGGGGACAUUAAUGGAAUAAGAUUACCUUUCCGUCACUCACAUCUGACUACUCAUAGACUUUUCUAUUUGAAGACGGAUUAAGGAAAAUUUUCCUGCAAACAAAUGUGGUCAAAUGAAUUGAUGAACAUGCAUACCUGCCAGGUACCCAGCAUCCUCAAGUGCCUAUAUGACAUUAACUCCAGUAGCCUGUGUGACCAUGUAGAAUAAAAAUAAAGUUACUGGGAGUUCAGGGUUGAUAAUAGCUCUGCUUUGUAUAUUUCUGCAGAAGUCAGAGUCUUUCAAAAUAUGGGAACAGUGAGUUAAAAUAAACUGUCUUAUUGGCAGAACAGAGUGUGAUCAUGAGAUACCAUUCAGCUUUUAUGCUGAUUCAUCAGCUCACAGUGAAACAAGCUUGCAAGAGAGCAUCCCAGGACCACUCAACAUUCAGAGGUGCAGUGGCUCACGCCUAUAAUCCCAGCACUUUGGGAGGCCAAAGAGGGUGGAUCACGAGGUCAAGAGAUCGAGACCAUCCUGGUCAACAAGGUAAAACCCUGUCUCUACUAAAAAUAUAAAAAUUAGCUGGGCAUGGUGGUGCGUGCCUGUAAUCCCAGCUACUCAGGAGGCUGAGGCAGGAGAAUUGCCUGCCUCAGGAGGCAGAAGUUGCGGUGAGCCGAGAUCGUGCCAUUGCACUCCAGUCUGGGCAACGACAGCGAAACUCUGUCUCGAAAAAAAAAAAAGUUACCUUCUGUUCUUAGUUUUCUGAAAGUUCUUGGAGAAUUAGUGUUAAAUUUUAUCAGAUAAUUUUCUACAUAUAUUAAGAUAUUCAAAUGUAAUUUUUUCACCUUUAUUUUGUUAAUAUGGUAAUUACACUGGUUUUCAAGCAUUAAAUUGACCUCUCAUUUCUGACAUAAAACCCACUUGGUUAUAAUAUGUUAUCUGUUCUACAUACUUCUGGAUUCAAUUUACUAAAUAUUUGUUAAGAAAUUUUACAUGUAUGUUAAUGAGGGAUUUUGGUCUGUAAUUUAGUUUUUUUUCACAAUAUUUGCCUAUUUCUGAAAAUGUAGAGCUUUUGAAUGAAGCUGGGAUAUUUCUUUUUUCUGUUUUACAAAAUGUCUCAUAAAAAAAUUAUUAUUACUUUCUUAAAUAUUUGACAUAAUUCACCAAUGACACCAUCUGGGCCUGACAUUUUCUUCGUGGGAAUAUUUUUUACUCAAAUUUUAUUUCUUUAAUAUAUAAGGGAUACUAAGUUUUUCUAUUUCUUUUUAUGUAAAUUUUGAUAAUUUUUAAAGGAAUUUUUUAUUUAAGAUGUCAACUUUGUUGGCAUAAAA